GAGAAGGAAAUGGCAACCCACUCCAGUGUUCUUGCCUGGAGAAUCCCAGGGAUGGGGGAGCCUGGUGGGCUGCCGUCUUUGGGGUCACAGAGUCGGACGCGACUGAAGCAACUUAGCAGCAGCGGCAGCAUCAAUUGGGAUGUGGCUGAGGAGCCCUUUUCCACCUUGUCGUCACACUACGGGCAACAUGAAAAACAGGAGCUUCCCUCUUGCUGUUGAAGGAAAGAAGUUGGCGAGGAAAGCACACUAGUUCUUAACUGCUCCAGCCCAGAAGGAGAAGCUACACUACACCAGGAUGAGAAGAUGACGACAUCAGAGGUAGACAGCUUCCCCAAGAUGCUGGACCUGAUUCCAUUUUGGGAUAACCAGUAAAAAG
ensembl:lncRNA